rnacentral:rRNA from 1 species
AUGGGAGAAGCAAGAUGCAAUACCACAGUUUCGGGGAUGUNAGGGUUCCAAGAGAAGAGGACCAGACUGGGCGGUGUAGUUCUGCGAUACAAUUUCCCUCUGGAAGAGCAUGCGAGCCAGGUGUACACAUGGACUAUGUUUGAGAUGUUUGGUCAGGCUUUGUACCGUGCAGGGAGAUAUGAUGUCGAGGAAGUCCAACGAGGCACGAGGUACCUUGUGCGGCAUGUUGAAGCUGAGAAGCAAGAGAAGUGGUGCCGCGAGAUGCAUGCGGUCGAUGUCCAUGAUGGCGGCACUCGUUACACGUGCGAAUGCGGCUUGUUUGAGCACAUGGGGAUGCUUUGUUGCCAUGCUAUCAAGGUUCUCAUUCAUUUGGGAGUGCGGAAGAUACCGAGUUUUCAUGUACUGAAGAGGUGGGCAGUAGAUGCCCGCGACAACUUGCCGCUGCACCUCAUCCAUUACCAGAAAGAUCAAGGGCCUCCCCGGUUGUCUUCCUACCGGCAUACUGCACUGCACCUGACAGCGCUCGAGUUUGUGCAGCUUGGUGAUAGCAAUGUAGAUGCAUUCGACAGAGCAAUGGACAUUUUAAAUGCAGGCAAGGCUGAACUGACCGUUUUGGCUGCGAUCAAAGAUGGGAAAAGUUUGGUGUACCAAACUCAAGUUGGGGAGUCAGCCAACCCAACCAUGGUUAUGAUGGCAAACGGCUCGCAACAAGAAGAUGUGUGUUCUGAGAUGUUCAUCUCGACUGAAUGUGGCCUUGGCUCUGUCUCUGUGGUAUCUGAUUCGAGUCGUCCAUUGUCCACAUUACUGGCGCCUGAUAGGAAAAAGCAGAGGGGGAGACCGACAACGGCGAGGGACAAGCCAGGAUACGAGAUAAAAGAUGCAAGAUCUAGAUUUUGCACAGUUUGUAGGGAGAAAGGGCACAAGAGCACAACGUGCCCCCGUAGGGGGGACCUUCCGAAGAAACCACGCAAAAUCCCUACAUGUGGAAAUUGUGGUGUGGCCGGGCACAAGAAAACAAGUUGUUUCAACCCGGUGUUGCCAUUUGUGAAGAGGCCGCGCGACGGACCAGUCGAGUGA